rnacentral:ncRNA from 1 species
AAAAAUUCGUAAAUAUCGAGCGCGACUUUUCGCCGUAAGGCGGAAAUGACACUUAGCUAUAUGCUGGAAAGCUGUUGAGAGCUGCGAUCCAAGAUUUUUGGAAAGCUUAACAGUCAAUCAGCAGGGAAGACUCGCCGUUUAUGCGGCGCGCAGACACUCGCGGACAAAACGCAGACACUCGCAGAAAUUUUCUGCGUAAUUCUGUGUAAAUUCCGCGAAUUUCUGCAGUAUCGAGCGAAAGCACGAUACAGAACCCUCAGAGACUACACGCUAAGCUCCUUUGUUUUGUUCUGCGUAAUUCUGCGCGUGCCCCGUAGUGAGCCUUGCUCUACUACUGGGGCCAAGUCGGCGUGGUUCUGCGCGAGCGAAGCGAGAGGAUGAAGAUAUAGUCCGAUCCUCCUAGCGAUAGGAGA